GCCAGGAAGCCUUCUCCAGGUUUGCCUCCAACUUCAUCUUGGAUUCCCAGAGUUUGCCUCUCUUGGGGCUCCCAAGGAAAGCUUGGCCCAUCACCCCCAGGCUUCUAGAGUAUGGGGGGGCAGUGUGUACUCUGGGAAUCACUGGGCAAGAGUGCACCUCAAAAUCCUGCCACAGGAGAGAAAGCAAGGACGGCAGCCAGGGUAUGAUGAACAAGACAUUGGACUGCAGAAAACCUGGCUUCAAAUCCUUCCUCAGAGACCUAUUAACUUGGGAAUUUCUGCCUUAAGAUUCGUCAUCUGUCAGAUGAAUGGCUUGGACCGGAUAGCUUCACGAUCCUAAAUCUGGGCGAGGGAGUCCUCGAACGUGAGGUGGAGAAUCCAUGAACAUUGUGCUCCAGGGACAGGGGCAGCUAGGGGUGCAAUGGUCAGAGUGCUGGGCUGGAGUCGGGAAGACUCGGGAACAAAUCUGGCUUCAGACACUUAACUGUGUCGCUUAACUCUACCUUAGUUUCUUCAUUUGUAAAAUGAGCUGGAAAAGGACACAUCAAACCACUCUAGUGCCUUUGUCAACAAAAUCCUAAAAGGAGUCAUGACACAGCUAAAGGUGACUCAAGAUGGGCCAUCACAGGGCUCAAUGCUGGGGAUGCAAGAAGAGGGAAAAGGCCUAGGAUUCAACCUUCUCAGCUACUCACUGCUCCCUCCCACCCACCCAACCUUUCCUGAAUAGGGACAAGGAAGGAAAACCAAGGUUACUGCCAAAGUCCAGAAGGGAGAAGAUGCACCGCAGGAAUGACUGACCACAGUGGAGACUUAAAAGAGAGGAAAAGUUGGCAAUUGUUUGGAUAUAACAGCCAAGAGAGUAAGGAGUUUGAAAAGGCUUCACGGCUGAGAACCUGAGGGAUUGGGAAGAUGGUGGCUCAAGACUGGGACAGGGAAGUUCAGAAGAGGUUUGGGGGAAAGGAGUUCUAUAUUAUAUAUGUUAUGAUAUGAUAUAUUAUAAGUUCUAUAUUAGACAUGUCAAGUUUGAAAUGUCUCUGGGCCAAGAAGGAUGUGGCUCUGAACCUCCAAGAGACUGAAGCUGGAUCUGUAGAUUUGGGAGUCAUUUGCCCAGUUACCUUAUCUCCAUGGCUAGGGAAAUGCUGAGAUCCUGAACACUGUACCCACAGAUCCUUACAGUCCUGAGUGAUUUUAAAUUAUUAUGAAAUCCACCUCAGUUCAGGAAGAUCUGCCUCUGUUUGGGGACUAGUGUCUGCCUCCUUCCCUGCUUCCCUCUUGCCAGAAGGGGGAAUAAAAGGGCCAAGGGUUCCCAUUGUAUCCAGAGCCAUCUCUAGUCCUCCUGAUCUAUAUCUGGCCCUGGACCCAGAAGGCUCUGGAGGGGAAAGUGAGGCUGGUGACCUUGCCCAGCCCUCCCUCCCUCAAAUCCAAAUCCCUUUUAUGUCAUGGAGUCACCUUCCUGAUGUCAUGGUCCUCUUUGAGAAUGAAGAACAGACAACAUUGAACAGAUAAUUAAAUCCACGGGAACUGAUGAGGCUCCCAAGGAAAAAGAGAGCAGGGUCUGGAACUCACCACUGGGAGUAUGAUAUGAUGUGAUGAUAGGAAAACCAGCAAAGACCAUUGAAAUAGUGAAAAACAGGCACAACUAAUGUACUGUUGGGAUGGAGAUGGAGUCCAGCUCAGUGAUGGCUCCAUGACGGAUUGUUUUGUAUGAAUGAAGAAAAUCCUUCCAUCACUGUAAAUGAUGGAAGGGAUGGAUUCAAACCAAUCUGGGAACGCCUUCGGGAACUGACACACAAAGGACAGAAAAAGAAGCGGCUGUGAAGCUGUCAGUCCCACAUGAAGCUUACUUUUUGAAAAGCAUCCAACUUGAAUAUUACCUUCAAAGUUGGUCUGUC